CAAAGCGCUGAUAACGUGCCAGGUGAUGAUGUCAAACUACUGCUGAUGCAGUAAUCAUUUCAACUGAUUGAUUUCAACUCGACAAUGUGGCUUAUCACCAAAAUGGACAAAAUAAUAAAACAGAAGAUGGUCUCUUGGUCGCUUCAGUAGGAGAUUAUCCUCAUAGACUUCAUGCAAGAGUGGAGAUUCCUUUAGGACCCGAAGGAUGAAAUUUAUUACAGAAGGGGAGACAGAUGCGGUCCUGGAUGAACUUGCUGCUCUACCUGGACAGGAUAUCACGGUUGAAACUGAAAUAUGCAUGCCACCGGACCAGAGAACAAAGCUGAUGGGGAGGGGGAAAGCCAGGGAAGCUAAUGUUAAUAAAUCAAACAGAUCGCAAAGAAUUCCAGUAGGUAAAUAAGAUGAUAGACUUCACAUGCUUGAAAGAUACAAAUAAAAUCCCUCUGCUUUUGGUAAAGGGGCCUGCAAAC